GAGAUUAGGUCCUAUUGCUGAUGCUUUAAAUACAGUUGAGAUGCAUCGAGAUUAGCACUCUCGUUUCGUUGUCAGUGAAGCUGCUUGUCCUGGAGCUAUGGGUUUAGGGUCUCGCGAUCGCCGCCAUGGAUGUCGGCCGCCGCCGCCGCCGCCGGCGGAAGCUCUGUGUAGGCUCCAGCUCUCGAUCGCCGCCGGCUUGAUUGUUCGUAGGUCUGCAGUCCUCUGGGAUUCCAACUAACAUGUCGUUUUGGAGGAAUCCAAAAUGCCAGGGACUGCAUGGCUAUGGGGAAGAGUGCUGAGCUUUUGUGCAAGGACAUCAUGGCUCAAAUUAGUAGCUUUGUGGCUGUCGAGUUUGAAGGUCAUGUGGGCCUUAUUUGGUGACAACGGGUCUUUUUCAUCAGAGACCAAGGAUAGGUACUCCAAACAUGAAGGCUACAUGUCCGAAAGGGAACUUUGAAACUAUGGUUGGGUUCAUUAGUACAGAUUGCUAGCACCUUAUAGGGAACAUCGAAAACAACAAGAGAAGACCACAGUGCUAUUGAACUUUAAAAUUGUGUUGAGGACUUUGCUUCUCUUUACACGGACAAGCCAGGAAGAAGCUUCAUCAAUGCAUCUACCCAAUGAGUGAAAUGAAUAUUCUAAUGGUUUGGUAAUUGUUAAUACAUGCAGCAUAUAUUCCAUAAUCUGUUUCUCUUGCUGGAUUUUCUUGCCACUUUUUAGUGGUAAGAUUGGAUAGAAUCAUAGCAUCACUUGUGAAAGGUAUGAGAGAUGAUCAUUGGGGAUUUAAGCAUCUGAUAAGUUUUAAAGAGAUUUGGCCUAGUGUUACUGUUUUUUCUAUAUAGCUUUUUUUUCCCCCCCAAAAAAAAAAUAAUAAUAAUAAUAAUUCUUGUGAAUUAGUGGUAAUAAUAUUGACAGAAUUUAUUUAUUUAUUUAUUUAAUGUUUUUGUCUCAUGAUUCACUUUCUUGAGUUCUUAGAGAGGAAAAGAAGCAGCAGCCAUGAAGAAGAGCAGACAGUGUCAGGCUGCCAUCUCAGUAAGGCUUUUCAUCAUCGUCUCCAUCUGUUAGUCAGUGGCCGUAUCAGACAAAAGCUUCCAUAACAACACACCUCUACACCCUCUUUUCUAAUCUCAAGGAAAACAAAGGAAUCUCUAGCCCUCCUUUCCCUUAUUCUUGCUCCAGUGGAAUCAUUAAUGAUAGGGGCAUAGAAAGAAAGCAAACCCAUCACCAACAAAAUAUAUAUAUAAAUAAAUAAAUAAAGCAAAAGAGAAGCAUAGAAAAAAGCAUGAAACGAUAGAGAAACUUAUUAUAUAUAUAUAUAUAUGUUUAUGUAUCUAGAGAGAGAGAGAGAGAGAGAGAGAGAGAGAGAGAGAGAGAGAGCAAGGAAAGGCAAGUCCCUGACUUUUUCUUUCCUUUAAUAAUGUCUCACAUUGCCCAAACUUCCACAUCCUAAGACUUGAGAACCCUUGGUUUUGUUGAAUGAAAACAACAACAACAACAACAGGAGGCAACAGCAGCAGCAACCUUCCUUUCCUAAUCUAAAGUUCUUACAGUGAGGACUCUGUUUAGAUGUGACACUUACCUUUUCCAUUGCCAUUUUCAUUGCCAUUGCCAUUCAUUUUCAGGCCCUAUCUAUGAAAUCUUCCACUAUGACUACAAAACAGUUACACAAACCAUUAAAAACCCAUAGUUUAAAAAAA